rfam:Picea glauca, whole genome shotgun sequence.
GAGUGAAAUGACGAGCAUAUGAUUCCCUAUUGGUUUGAGUGCCGGGAUGAUGGCAUUAUCAGUUAUUAGCUCUAUCUGAUCACUU